UACGAAGGGGGCUAGCGUUGUUCGGAAUCACUGGGCGUAAAGCGCAUGCAGGCGGAUCGUUAAGUCGGGGGUGAAAGCCCGAGGCUCAACCUCGGAACUGCCUUCGAUACUGGCGAUCUUGAGUCCGGGAGAGGUGAGUGGAACUCCGAGUGUAGAGGUGAAAUGCGUAGAUAUCAGGAGGAAUACCGGUGGCGAAAGCGACUCUCUGGACAGCAACUGACGCUGAGGCACGAAAGCGUGGGGAGCAAACAGG
rnacentral:rRNA from 1 species